CUCUCCCUUCCCCUUCCCCUCCUCCCUCUCUCUCCUCCGCCUUGUGCUUGUGGAUCAAGCUGUAAACUCCUAGCUACUGCUCCAGUGCCCUGCUCCCUGCCGUGAUGGUCAUGGAUUCUACUGCCCUCUGGCACCCAAGAUGUCUUAAAUGUUUCAUAAGAAUUGCCAUGGUCGUGGUGUCUCUUCACAGCAACAGAGAAGUGGCUAAGACAACAAGUGACUCUGAAACUGCUUUCAAAGGGAAGUUAAGUACAUGUGCAAAUGAGAUCCGUCUCAUUUUUGCCACAGACAGACAAUGAGUCCCACAAAAGGCCCCACUAAAGACGGUUUACUUUGCUCUCCGGACUUUGAUUUCCACAAUGGCGACACCGGUGUGUAGUAAGCGGGCCUUGGCUCCAAAACCAGCCCAAGGAAGUUACUUUGGUUGUUUGUCAACAACCUUAACAACACUGUCAGUAUGAAUGACUUCUGUUCAAGAGGUGAGGUGGUGAUGAGGUUGUCCGCAUGGGGCGCUGUGGCGCGCUGAGGCAGCACGUCCCGCAAGCUUUGCUUUAAAGCUUUAACGCCAACUGACAAAUCCCCGUUGAUUCGAUUCGGCUGGCGCCAUCGCUUUUACCGUUACAUCUCCGAACCCUGCCAUGUUGGAGAUCACCCGGCGCUCUCAGUCUCCCUCAGCUGCCAGGUGUAGAGGCCUCUUUACGAAUGACUGGAGGAGAUCUUGUUCCUCGGCUGGCUAAUGCCACUUUAAGUGAAGCCAGCCUGCCGUGUGACCCCCGGCUUGUCAUUUUAAUGGAUCUCUGGGCAGAAGCUAUAAAAGGAGGCACCGUGUUUGGAGUCGACAUCUAAGAUAGUCACAAGCAGACAUGAUUAAUAGGAAGCUUUUAGCUUCUACAGAAGGUCGUUCUUCUUAAAAGUGGACUGCUAAAGGCUUUCAGCACAAACUACCUUGUAAAAUGACAUAGGUUCAUAUAUCCUGGUUUUUUGGAGGGAUGAAGGGCCCAGUUAAGUUUGUGCAGUGUGGUGGAGAGCUAAAAGCCCAUUCUAUCUAUCUAUCUAUCUAUCUAUCUAUCUAUCUAUCUAUCUUUCUUUCUUUCCAAACCGGAAAUGACAGAAAUGUCCCCGUACACUUUACAAUUCCCCUAUCUGCCAUCGGCUUCCAUGGAUGUCGUAACUGGGUCGUAACCAUUCUUUGGUUGAUGGGCAUUUAGCUUGCUUCUUGAAGGAUACUGCUGGUAUCAGGUUAUGGUUGUAUCCAUUUGCACUGCCACUAACAACAUAAUAGAGGUCUUUUCUGGAUAUUUCCUUUUUUUUUUUUUUUCUUUUUUUCUUUUUUUUGACAGGGUCUCACCGUGGCUUUGGCUGACCUGGAACUCACUCUGUAGACCAGGCUAACUUGAACCUCUUAGAGCUCUACCAGUCACUGCCUCCCAAGUGCUGGGAUUAAAGGUGUAUACCACUAUGCCUAGUUUUUCUUUGUUUGUUUUGGUUUUUUGCUUGUUUAUUUAUUUUCUUUAGGAUGACAACCAUUCUGGCAGGCAUGGAGAGACAUUUCAUUACACUGUCGAUUUGUAUUUCUCUGAUGAUUGUGGAUUGUGGAACAAAUAUGUCCCUCUAUCCUACCAUUAUAGCAUCUUAUUUCUUCUAUUGCUUUGUCCUUGAGAAACGGGUGAUGUUUUAAGGAUAAACAUCCUUUUUGACAGCUCACUGAUCUCCCCCACUUUGGGAUCCCCGUUCUGGGGUAUCACACUCUUGCUUUGCCUCUUAUGUCUCCAGCCUUGAGUUGAAGAAACUCUCUGACGACCUCCUCCACUCCCCUUGAAGCUCAGAAGAUGGAAGCGGAAAUUCCGGCCGACGAGCAAAAAUUUACAUCUCUGGCUUUUGUCUCGGUUAUAUUUCAGUUUAAUAAUUGGCAAUGACUCGCCAACCAUUUGAAGAGAAACACAAGUGACUGCUUUUUUGAGUCAUCUGAGAAGAGGGAAUCUUAACUGAGAAAAUGCGUCCUUCAGAUCCGCCAAGGAGAUUUCCUCAUGAGAUUUUCUGCCUGGUGUGACUCUCGUCGGUCGGAAGAAGCCAACAAGAAAAGAAGCAACGAAGAGAAGGAACAAUGAAGAGAAGAAGGAAGAGAAGGCGUGGGUUGGGGCUCCCAAGCUCCUCAUCUCAGCUGGGGAUACCCUUCCCUGGGAGCUGCAGCGCCUCUUCUGAGGAGGCUUCCUCUCAGCUGUGUGGUUCCUGAGCCCCUGUGUCUCAGGAUGCGCUUCCAUUGGGACACUAUCUCACCUGAGAGCUGUAAGGUUCCUGGGCCCCCGUGUCCCAGGAUACCCUCCCACCAGAGCAGAAUGUAUGUAAAUUCAUUUUCACCUCCUCUCCCACCUCUCAUCGCCUUCUCCGUCCCACACAACCCCCUCUCCAUGACAAAGGUCUCCUCCUAUUUCACAUCUUCUUUCCACGCGUGAUCCACAGAGAUUCACUAGACUUGCUUGCACAAGCAGGAGUUGGGUGGUUAUUUACUGGAGCAAGGGCAACCCCCAGCAACCACUAACUGAAUCUUGGCGGUUUGAUCCGCCCCAUAGGCUCUCCAGCACAGGCUGGUCAGAAGCCAGUAGCCCAGAGAACAGCUGAAGUGUGCAGCUAAAGCCCUUCUUAGGAGAAGGUGGAAGCUGAACUGGACCUGAGGUUGCAGCUUCUGGGCUGGUGGGGUGCCUGCUUGUUUUACAGUCUCCUCUGUGGUCUUUGCAUUUCAUCCUUGUGAGUUCUCCAGUACCAAGUCUCUCAGCUCCCCAAGCAAGUACCAUGGGCCAACAUCAGGGACAGGACUUGAAUGAGGACAACCCUGUUCACCUUGCUUCCUGCAAAGCUCAAAGAGGCAGGAGGCAAGGGAGCUGCAGCUAACGAGGCUGAGGACAAGCUGGACUGUCUCGAGUAUCAGAGGUAGCCACGGCAGCCGCUAACGAGAGAGCACUGCUAGCAACUAGGAAGUCCAAAGCUCUCUCCAGCAAGGAUUGACCUCUCCAUGUACCAGAGAGGAUGCCGCUGUUAAAUCUUUCCGAGGAUCAUUUCCACAGCACCAAGCAGAAAACCGUUGCUGCACAAAUCCAAGAAGCCCAUACGUGGGUCUGGUGUUGUGAGAAGAGGAUAGAGAGUUUGGACAAUGUACAUGUGUGGAAGGAUGCAAAACUGACCCAUGACACUGCCCCAGUGUCCCUCUUAUGGAAGCCCAGGAGAAUGGGUGGAUCUAGAGGUUCUGAUCUGCAAAAUUAGAUAGAUAUUUUAGUGACUUCCAAAUCCACACUCAGCCACAUCUCUGUACCUACUCUUUCAGCACAAAGCUGGUACGAAAACGAUGAGACUGUAUAGCAUCCUGUAGCAUGUUCACGGAUGAGGGCCCAGGAUGCAGUGGGCUAGAAAAUCCAAGCUGAGGUACAGGAAACACUGAGGAUAAGGUUUAGCAAUAGGAUGGGAACGGAGGGAGAUUAAGAAAAACCUUAUAUUUGAGAGCCAGGUCCGCCUAUGAGAGUUGGGGACAUGAGCUCAGGGCCAGCCUCAGUCACCCUUUUGAGUGAAGGGCAGCAUCAUUCCAACUGAGCAUUGUAUGAGAGUCACAGGGCUAAGAGCUUGCAUCGAACCUUUCUGCUCUCUAAGAAGUCGUUCCUGUGAUGACUGUUUACUUGAAUAAUCUGACUCUUCCAAGAAACAAAUGCUUAUCUAGAAUCCAUGCUUGUAAUAAAAUACUCUUACGGUGGAAUCGUAGAAACCAGUGCUGCGAAGUAAUGCGUACUUGGACCGUUGCUACCCUCACCAGGCUUUUCAGCAAAAGGUGAUGGAUCCGUGGCAACCUAGAUCUGACGAUUGGGAUCAACAGGCCUCUUUUCUGGUAUCUGUCUCCUAGAGACUGACGAGACUCAGAGUGGAGGCUUUGUGAUAACCCUGAUUGUCAUAAUGAGGAGUCUGAGGCAAGCUAUGCCUCCAGCCCAGAAGCCCAGAAGCCCAGAAGCCCAGUGCUGAACCAUCUGCUUCCCCCAGUUGAUUCAGGAUUUUGCCUCUGGGAUGGAUAAGACCAGCCAGAAUUCUCAGGUCCUGUGCCCAUGGAUUUAAUCUAUUGUACAUCAUAAGCAUUUGAAAAAAUGUUGCAUCUGUA